rnacentral:tRNA from 1 species
UAGGCUGAAGUCCGAUGGUUUGGACGGCUAGUUGUUAACUAGUUUUAUUGUGAGAUCGAGGCUCAUCAGUCUAGUAGAGCUUUAGUUUAAUUAAAAUGUCUGUGUUGCAAGCAGAAGAUGUGGAUGUCUGCAAGUUCUC